rnacentral:rRNA from 1 species
GACGAACGCUGGCGGCGUGCUUAACACAUGCAAGUCGAACGGAAAGGCCCUGCUUUUGUGGGGUGCUCGAGUGGCGAACGGGUGAGUAACACGUGAGUAACCUGCCCUUGACUUUGGGAUAACUUCAGGAAACUGGGGCUAAUACCGGAUAGGAGCUCCUGCUGCAUGGUGGGGGUUGGAAAGUUUCGGCGGUUGGGGAUGGACUCGCGGCUUAUCAGCUUGUUGGUGGGGUAGUGGCUUACCAAGGCUUUGACGGGUAGCCGGCCUGAGAGGGUGACCGGCAACAUUGGGAAUGAGGUACGGCCCAGACUCCUACGGGAGGCAGCAGUGGGGAAUAUUGCAAAAUGGGCGGAAGCCUGAUGCAGCAACGCCGCGUGCGGGAUGACGGCCUUCGGGUUGUAAACCGCUUUCGCCUGUGACGAAGCGUGAGUGACGGUAAUGGGUAAAGAAGCACCGGCUAACUACGUG